UCCCUGGUGGCUCAGACAGUAAAGAAUCUGCCUGCAGCGCAGGAGACUCAGGUUCGAUCCCUGGGUUGGGAA
rnacentral:tRNA from 1 species